GAUGAAGAACGCAGCGAAAUGCGAUAAUUAAUGUGAAUUGCAGAAUUUAGUGAAUCAUCGAAUCUUUGAACGCACAUUGCGCCCCUUGGUAUUCCGGGGGGCAUGCCUGUUCGAGCGUCAUUUCAACCCUCAAGCUCUGCUUGGUCUUGGGCCGCGCCGGCAACGGCGGGCCUCAAAAACAGUGGCGGCGCCAUCUGGUCCCUCAGCGUAGUAAUUCUUCUCGCUCUGGAGGUCCGGUCGUGUGCUCGCCAGCAACCCCCAAUUUUUUUCAGGUUGACCUCGGAUCAGGUAGGGAUACCCGCUGAACUUAAGCAUAUCAAUAAGCGGAGGA
rnacentral:misc_RNA from 1 species